AAAGAGAGAGAGGGAAAGAGGGGUAGAGGAAGGAAGAGGGAGAGAGAGAGCGAGAGAGAAUAUCCCGUCAGUGCCUGGGAACCUGAGGGAUCCUGGCAAGGACAGAGGAGACGGAGAAGGAGGCGAGGAGGACAGAGGAGACGGAGACGGAGGCGAGGAGGACAGAGGAGACGGAGAAGGAGGCGAGGAGGACAGAGGAGACGAGGGGGCUGAGAGGAGAGCUGCUGGAUCAGGUCUCGGAUUGUGUUGGACUUCUGUUGAUCUGGUCUGAGGGGUCUGCAGCACCAUGGGAGCCCCCGGCAACACGCUGCUCGUCUUCACGCUCUUCGUCGUCUCGUCUCUCAGCCAAGAAGAUUAUUAUUAUUCUGGAUCUCAGUCUGGUGAGGAACACACCUUUGAAGGCUCUUCUGUCGACCGCUCAGCUCCUCCACCAG